rnacentral:rRNA from 1 species
UACGGGGGGGGUAAGCGUUGUUCGGAAUUACUGGGCGUAAAGGGCUCGUAGGCGGCCAACUAAGUCAGCCGUGAAAUCCCUCGGCUUAACCGGGGAACUGCGUCUGAUACUGGAUGGCUUGAGUUUGGGAGAGGGAUGCGGAAUUCCAGGUGUAGCGGUGAAAUGCGUAGAUAUCUGGAGGAACACCGGUGGCGAAGGCGGCAUCCUGGACCAACACUGACACUGAGGAGCGAAAGCCAGGGGAGCAAACGGG